rnacentral:rRNA from 1 species
GAUGAACGCUGGCGGCGUGCUUAACACAUGCAAGUCGAACGAAGCAUUUGCGACAGAUUUUUUCGGAAUGAAGUUGCUUAUGACUGAGUGGCGGACGGGUGAGUAACGCGUGGGUAACCUGCCUUGUACUGGGGGAUAGCAGCUGGAAACGGCUGGUAAUACCGCAUAAGCGCACAAUGUUGCAUGACAUGGUGUGAAAAACUCCGGUGGUAUAAGAUGGACCCGCGUCUGAUUAGCUAGUUGGUGAGAUAACAGCCCACCAAGGCGACGAUCAGUAGCCGACCUGAGAGGGUGGCCGGCCACAUUGGGACUGAGACACGGCCCAGACUCCUACGGGAGGCAGCAGUGGGGAAUAUUGCACAAUGGAGGAAACUCUGAUGCAGCGACGCCGCGUGAGUGAAGAAGUAAUUCGUUAUGUAAAGCUCUAUCAGCAGGGAAGAUAGUGACGGUACCUGACUAAGAAGCUCCGGCUAAAUACGUG